rnacentral:rRNA from 1 species
UGGGAGGCUUAGAAGUGUGGACGCCAGUCUGCAUGGAGCCGACCUUGAAAUACCACCCUUUAAUGUUUGAUGUUCUAACGUUGACCCGUAAUCCGGGUUGCGGACAGUGUCUGGUGGGUAGUUUGACUGGGGCGGUCUCCUCCUAAAGAGUAACGGAGGAGCACGAAGGUUGGCUAAUCCUGGUCGGACAUCAGGAGGUUAGUGCAAUGGCAUAAGCCAGCUUGACUGCGAGCGUGACGGCGCGAGCAGGUGCGAAAGCAGGUCAUAGUGAUCCGGUGGUUCUGAAUGGAAGGGCCAUCGCUCAACGGAUAAAAGGUACUCCGGGGAUAACAGGCUGAUACCGCCCAAGAGUUCAUAUCGACGGCGGUGUUUGGCACCUCGAUGUCGGCUCAUCACAUCCUGGGGCUGAAGUAGGUCCCAAGGGUAUGGCUGUUCGCCAUUUAAAGUGGUACGCGAGCUGGGUUUAGAACGUCGUGAGACAGUUCGGUCCCUAUCUGCCGUGGGCGCUGGAGAACUGAGGGGGGCUGCUCCUAGUACGAGAGGACCGGAGUGGACGCAUCACUGGUGUUCGGGUUGUCAUGCCAAUGGCACUGCCCGGUAGCUAAAUGCGGAAGAGAUAAGUGCUGAAAGCAUCUAAGCACGAAACUUGCC